UCCAUAUUUAGGUUAACACGUGUAGUUUCUUACUUACGGAUGACAAUACCGAUAAAUAAGCCCUUGUGGAUACCUUCUCCUGUAUGUUACGACGCAAGAACCAAAUUUCACUCAUUCACAGGAACUUUGACGAAUAUUAACAAAACACUUGAAAAUAUUUUGAAUGGACCAAUCAGAGAAGGGGUACCUAAGGGUUAAACUCGCGUACCAUUUCUCACUUCCUUGCACAUGUUGGCUUCACAACAAAUCUCAGCUUGCCCAGUCUAUCCGAUAUAUAGUCGAAGGCUGCAUCAACUGUCACCAACCCAAAAAAAAAAUUAAAUUAAUUAUCACCAGGAGGAUACCAUUGAUGGAAAUUCUGCCAGAUUAAUUCGUAUUUUCACCAAACUUGAUUUAAGUUGUUCCAAUAGUGUACAAGGUUUAUGUUUUAUUAAUAAAUUGGGGGUCAUAGGGUAAGAGUUAGGAAAAAUGUAAUAACUAACGGGUAUCAGGUGUUAUUUGUCGUUAUGUUGGCUGUGAAUUUGAAAUUUUCUAUUACUGCCAAUUUUGACUAUUUAGUUAAACAAAUAUGCACUAAACACGUUGUACUAAACACGUUGUUUGAGUUCUAAUUUUGUUAUGAUUUUAUAAAAAUCUUCCUUAAGCCAGGCAACCAACAAUACGCUUAGAAUUUAUUCAGUGCCGUCGAAGGUGCCGUCCUUUUUUCUGUUGGUCACACUGAUAACUAGCUUGUUAUUGGUUGCCGGUCACGUGGUUACUGGUUAAUAUGUUUAUUUGUUGAACUUGUAACUAAGUUUUGUUUAUCGUUGUUCUGAGCUGGAAAUCUCGGUAAAAAAGUGUUGAUGUAAUUUAUGCCUUUUUGUUUGAACAUUUCGGUGCAAAUACAAUCCCAAAAUGUGAUAGUGUUGGUUCAGUGCUUGCCGGACCGAUUUUUGGUUAUGAUUUGGAUGCUUGGAAGUAACGUUUGCCGGUUGAUUGGUGUUUGGGUUGGUUGCAGGUCGCUGUUAAUCCGAAUUUGCUGAUUUCUUUAUGGCAAGAUUACAAAGUCUUCCGAACUUGGCUGGAGUUGUUUCAUAAGGUUCGUCUUUAAAGAAUAAGGUCUUAUUGGUACUUAAGGGUAGCAUUAGAAUUGAUCAAAAAUGGAGGAAUGUGGAGGUGAGGAUGGUAUUUUGUAAUGCAUAACAAUAUGCGAAACCAAUAAUUGUUUUAGUUGGUUUUUCAAAAUACUUUUGUACAACUGAAUUUCCUUUCCUCCCUUAUGUAAGUAAAUCAAGUGCUAUUUUUAUUCAACAGUUGCAGCUGGAAGAAUUUUGCUAAAAUAUUUAUUUGGAAAUCAUUUUAUACGUUUUAAACACGAACUUGUCGUACAUUUUUUUAAAAACGGUAAUGGUACACUCUUGGUGUUUUCUGAUUAAUAAUAAUAAUAAUAUAGUUAAUUUAUGCUAACAAUACAAAGUAUUUUGCAUAGGUCAAGAAAAGUGUAGGUACAUCGUAGGUCAUAAAAACAUAAAAACUCUUCAAUCGUCUAAAAGGGCUUGGUUAUUAAAUAAGUUUCAAUUUUUUUGAGAAAAACAUUGGAAGGUGUGCUUUUAACUCUCGCUGGUAAGGCGUUGUAAAAUUUGAUACCAUAGUAAUUUACACCAUGCCUAGAUCUGAGUAAUCGCAAUUUAUCCAGAAAGAUGCUAUCAUUUUUGGUGUUAUAACUGUGUUUCGAAUUGGUAAAUUUAUAAGAUGAAAAAUGUGUAAAAAUGUAUUCUAGGCAUUUAUAUAUGUAGAGGCCUGAAGUGUAAGGAUAUUUAGGGAUUGAAAAUGAUAUCUACAGGAAUCGCGGAAUCCAAUACCAACAACUACUCUGAUUGCUCUGCGUUGCAAACGAAAUAGUCUAUUAGUUGAAGCACAGUGCUCAAUACUCAAGGUGAGAAUGAACUAGUCCGAAGUAAGUGGUUCUUAUCAUUUCAGGUGCUAUGUGGUUUGAUAGAUUACGGAAGAGAUAGAUAUUUUUACAUAACUUAUUUGCUAGACUAUCAAUGUGCUUGUGCCAUCUUAAAGGAAAAACAAUAUAUUGUGAUGACUCGAUUUUUCAAACUUUCAAUUUCAAAUCUCGCGGGAAAUGUCAACACGAAUGUGAAGUGAGUGUAAGUGGAAUGUGCGCAGAAGAAUCGCAAACUCCAAUUAGGCGCGCGCACGUGACGUCACUAACCAAGCUUGGAGGAAAAACAUUGGAACACGUGUUAACUAUGCUACUGUGUUGUACGGAGUUAUACGCUGUGGUUAUACGUGUUUUGUUCUAAAGUUUGAAGUAUUAUGGAGUUAUCUGAAUACGCACAAGGGUAGAUCCAUAUUUAAUUCAUCCCCAAACUUGUUCUCAAGAUGUGGAGAAUUUUCCCAAAAUAGAAUUCCCUGACAUCGUUAUGUACUUAGUGGAUACAAAAAGUGCUUAUACUAUGCAACAAUUAAAAGGAUACAAGGGAUUGGAUGCAUAUAAAUAUGCUACUUGUGGCUGGGUUAAACAGGUGGCUGUGAAGGUCUUUGGGUCUUAUGUCGUAGUCUUGGGAAAGAUAAAUCUGAUCAUUAUUGUAUAUCGGUUAUUUAAGCAUUAUUUGAAUCUAGGUACUUCAUUCCUAACGAUUAAAUGAACCUAUGUUGCAACCAUGUAUUAUUGCUGAAAAAGAGGGCAAUAUAUGCUCUGCCCAUUACACGUGCAUCGCAGGUUUGGGGGAGGUAUGUACUCACGUUGGGGCCCUUCUUUUUACUGUGGAAUUAAACGUCCGGGAUUUGGAAGAGACUACAGUAACAGGAAAGAAGGCCUAUUGGAUGCCUCCUUCAGGAAAACCUGCUCAACCACAGAGUCUCAAAUAUAGAUUUUUCGGUACCAAAAAAAAGAUUGCCCCGGGACGAACCACUCACUGUUCGUGAUAAAGGUCAAGAAAACAUUCCAUCAUUAUCCCGAACAGAGAGACAAGAUCUUUUAAAUUUAUUUGCGUCCACUUCGCAAGGAUCCGCAGCGCAUUUAAUUACUAAUCCCAAAGUAAAAAAGAAGAGAGGGACCAAAAAAAGAAUCAUUGGAUUACAACUUUAUUCAGUGAAGAUCACAUUCAUAAAAGCUUAAGUGAGCUGCAGGAAUUAGGUGCCUCUUUGGAUUUUUCUAUACCAGUUGCUGAUUGUAAGGAGAUUCACAAUACGACUAAAGAACAAGCGAAGUGUAAAGAUUGGUUUUACUAUAGAGCUGGAAGGAUUACAGCGUCCAAAUUCAAAAGUUGUUGCCGAACAAAUAUCGCGAAUCCCUCUUUAUCUUUACUCAAGUCUGU